UACGUAGGCAGCAAGCGUUGUUCGGAGUUACUGGGCGUAAAGGGUGCGUAGGCGGCCGUGUAAGUGUGGUGUGAAAUCUCCCGGCUUAACUGGGAGGGUGCGCUACAGACUGCAUGGCUAGAGUGUGGGAGAGGAAAGUGGAAUUCCUGGUGUAGCGGUGAAAUGCGUAGAUAUCAGGAGGAACACCGGUGGUGUAAACGGCUUUCUGGACCGUAACUGACGCUGAGACACGAAAGCGUGGGUAGCAAACAGG
rnacentral:rRNA from 1 species